UACGGGGGGAGCAAGCGUUGUUCGGAUUUACUGGGCGUAAAGGGUGCGUAGGCGGCCCUGUAAGUCAGUGCUGAAAUAUCCCGGCUUAACCGGGAGGGUGGCAUUGAUACUGCGGGGCUAGAGUACAGAUGAGGUAGGCGGAAUUGACGGUGUAGCGGUGAAAUGCUUAGAUAUCGUCAAGAACACCUAUAGCGAAGGCAGCUUACUAGGCUGUAACUGACGCUGAGGCACGAAAGUGUGGGGAUCAAACAGG
rnacentral:rRNA from 1 species